AUGUGCCUAUGUCGGAUUAACUAGUUGGUGGGGUAAGAGCCUACCAAGGCGACGAUCCGUAACUGGUCUGAGAGGAUGAUCACCCACAUCGGGACUGAGACACGGCCCGAACUCCUACGGGAGGCAGCAGUGGGGAAUAUUGGACAAUGGGGGCAACCCUGAUCCAGCCAUGCCGCGUGUGUGAAGAAGGCUUUCGGGUUGUAAAGCACUUUCAGUGAGGAGGAAAACCUUACGACUAAUACUCGUGAGGCUUGACGUUACUCACAGAAGAAGCACCGGCUAACUCCGUGCCAGCAGCCGCGGUAAUACGGAGGGUGCAAGCGUUAAUCGGAAUUACUGGGCGUAAAGCGCGCGUAGGUGGUUUGAUAAGCGAGAUGUGAAAGCCCCGGGCUCACCCUGGGAACGGCAUUUCGAACUGUCAGGCUAGAGUAUGGUAGAGGAGUGUGGAAUUUCCUGUGUAGCGGUGAAAUGCGUAGAUAUAGGAAGGAACAGCAGUGGCGAGAGCGGCACUCUGGAUCGAUACUGACACUGACGUGCGAAAGCGUGGGGAGCAAACA
rnacentral:rRNA from 1 species